rnacentral:rRNA from 1 species
GACGAACGCUGGCGGCGUGCCUAAUACAUGCAAGUCGAGCGCAGGAAGCCGUCUGAACCCUUCGGGGGGACGACGGUGGAAUGAGCGGCGGACGGGUGAGUAACACGUAAAGAACCUGCCCAUAGGUCUGGGAUAACCACGAGAAAUCGGGGCUAAUACCGGAUGUGUCAUCGGACCGCAUGGUCCGCUGAUGAAAGGCGCUCCGGCGUCGCCCAUGGAUGGCUUUGCGGUGCAUUAGCUAGUUGGUGGGGUAACGGCCCACCAAGGCGACGAUGCAUAGCCGACCUGAGAGGGUGAUCGGCCACACUGGGACUGAGACACGGCCCAGACUCCUACGGGAGGCAGCAGUAGGGAAUCUUCCACAAUGGACGAAAGUCUGAUGGAGCAACGCCGCGUGAACGAUGAAGGCUUUCGGGUCGUAAAGUUCUGUUGUAAGGGAAGAACAAGUGCCGCAGGCAAUGGCGGCAUCUUGACGGUACCUUGCGAGAAAGCCACGGCUAACUACGUGCCAGCCGCCGCAGUAA